GCUUGCUUCAGCACACAUACACUAAACUUGAAGCAAUACAGAGAAGAUUAGCAUCGUCCUGUGCAAGGACGACAUGAAAAUUCCUGAAGUGUAUCAUACUUUU